UACGUAUGGUGCAAGCGUUAUCCGGAUUUACUGGGUGUAAAGGGAGCGCAGGCGGCACGGCAAGCCUGAUGUGAAAGCCCGCGGCCCAACCGCGGGACUGCAUCGGGAACUACCGGGCUGGAGUGCCGGAGAGGUAGGCGGAAUUCCUAGUGUAGCGGUGAAAUGCGUAGAUAUAUGGAGGAACACCGGUGGCGAAAGCGGCUCUCUGGCCUGUAACUGACACUGAGGCUCGAAAGCGUGGGGAGCAAACAGG
rnacentral:rRNA from 1 species